GACGAACGCUGGCGGCGUGCUUAACACAUGCAAGUCGAACGGAAAGGCCCUGCUUUUGUGGGUUGCUCGAGUGGCGAACGGGUGAGUAACACGUGAGUAACCUGCCCUUGACUUUGGGAUAACUUCAGGAAACUGGGGCUAAUACCGGAUAGGAGCUCCUGCUGCAUGGUGGGGGUUGGAAAGUUUCGGCGGUUGGGGAUGGAAUCGCGGCUUAUCAGCUUGUUGGUGGGGUAGUGGCUUACCAAGGGUUUGACGGGUAGCCGGCCUGGGAGGUUGACCGGCCACAUUGGGACUGAGAUACGGCCCAGACUCCUACCGGAGGCAGCAGUGGAGAACAUGGCGCAAUGGGCGGGAGCCUGUUGCGGCAACGCCGCGUGCGGGAUGAUGGGUUUCGGGGUGUAAACCGCUUUCGCAUGUGACGAAGCGUGAGUGACGGUAAUGGGUAAAGAAGCACCGGCUAACUACGUG
rnacentral:rRNA from 1 species